rnacentral:tRNA from 1 species
UGGUUCAGUGGUAGAAUUCUCACCUUCCAUGUGGGAGACCCAGGUUUGAUUCUUGG